AGCGAACGCUGGCGGCGUGCCUAACACAUGCAAGUCGAACGUGAAAGGGAGCAAUCCCAAGUAAAGUGGCGUACGGGUGAGUAAUAUAUAGGUAAUCUACCCUAGAGUCUGGAAUAACCUGCCGAGAGGCGGGCUAAUACUGGAUAGAGCGACGGAAUCCGUAAUUGGGUUUUUCGGGAAAGGGAGCUCGCAAGAGCCUUCGUUUUAGGAUGAGCCUAUAUCCCAUUAGCUAGUUGGCAGGGUAAAAGCCUACCAAGGCAGUGAUGGGUAGCUGGUC
rnacentral:rRNA from 1 species